AACGAACGCUGGCGGCAUGCCUAACACAUGCAAGUCGAACGGGAUCCUAGCUUGCUAGGUGAGAGUGGCGGACGGGUGAGUAACACGUGGGAAUCUGCCUUUUGGUUCGGGAUAACCGCGGGAAACUGCGGCUAAUACCGAAUGCCCUCGAGAGAGGAAAGAUUUAUCGCCAGAAGAGGAGCCCGCGUCCGAUUAGGUAGUUGGUGGGGUAAAGGCCUACCAAGCCGACGAUCGGUAGCUGGUCUGAGAGGAGUGAUCAGCCACACUGGGACUGAGAUACGGCCC
rnacentral:rRNA from 1 species